rnacentral:rRNA from 1 species
UACGUAGGGGGCAAGCGUUGUCCGGAUUUAUUGGGCGUAAAGAGCUCGUAGGUGGUUUGGUAAGUCGGAUGUGAAAUCUCCAGGCUCAACCUGGAGGGGUCAUUCGAUACUGCCAUGACUAGAGGUCGGUAGGGGAGUGUGGAAUUCCUGGUGGAGCGGUGAAAUGCGCAGAUAUCAGGAGGAACACCCGUAGCGAAGGCGGCACUCUGGGCCGAUUCUGACACUGAGGAGCGAAAGCGUGGGGAGCGAACAGGAUUAGAUACCCUGGUAGUCCACGCCGUAAACGUUGGGCACUAGGUGUGGGACUCUAUCGACGGGUUCCGUGCCGUAGCUAACGCAUUAAGUGCCCCGCCUGGGGAGUACGGCCGCAAGGCUAAAACUCAAAG